rnacentral:rRNA from 1 species
CCCUUAGAUGUUCUGGGCCGCACGCGCGCUACACUGAUGCAUUCAACGAGUCUAAAACCUGCUCUGAUAGGGGUGGGUAAUCUUUUGAAUGUGCAUCGUGAUUGGGAUAGAUGAUUGCAAUUUUUCAUCUUCAACGAGGAAUGCCCAGUAAACGCAAGUCAUCAGCUUGCAUUGAUUACGUCCCUGCCCUUUGUACACACCGCCCGUCGCUCCUACCGAUUGAAUGAUCCGAUGAAUAUCAUGGAUUGAGGAUGCAAGUAGGUUCGCCUAUCUUCAUCUUCGAGAAGUGAAGUAAAUCUUAUCAUUUAGAGGAAGGAGAAGUCGUAACA